rnacentral:rRNA from 1 species
AUCAUCGAAUUAAACCACAUGCUCCACCGCUUGUGCGGACCCCGUCAAUUCCUUUGAGUUUCAACCUUGCGGUCGUACUCCCCAGGUGGCUAACUUAUCGGUUUCCCUUAGAUGCUCAAUCCUAAAACCAAACAUCGAGUUAGCAUCGUUUAGGGCGUGGACUACCAGGGUAUCUAAUCCUGUUUGCUCCCCACGCUUUCGUGCCUCAGCGUCAAUCAAGGCCCAGCUAGCUGCCUUCGCAAUUGGUGUUCCAUGGCAUAUCUAUGCAUUUCACCGCUACAUGUCACAUUCCGCUAACCUCAACCCAAUUCAAGAACAUCAGUAUCAACGGCAAUUCUAUCGUUAAGCAACAGACUUUCACCACUGACUUAAUGUCCCGCCUACGCACCCUUUAAACCCAGUGAUUCCGGAUAACGCUUGCACCCCCCGUAUUACCGCGGCUGCUGGCACGGAGUUAGCCGGUGCUUAUUCCGCAGAUACCGUCAGACCCUCAUAAAUGAAGGCGUUUCUUCUCUGCUAAAAGCAGUUUACAGUCCAUAGGACCUUCUUCCUGCACGCGGAAUGGCUGGUUCAGACUUCCGUCCAUUGACCAAUAUUCCCUACUGCUGCCUCCCGUAGGAGUCGGGUCCGUGUCUCAGUACCCGUGUGGGGGAUCACGCUCUCACGCCCCCUACUGAUCGUCGCCUUGGUAGGCCUUUACCCUGCCAACUAGCUAAUCAGACGCACACCCAUCUCUAAGCGCCUCAACUUUAAUAAUAAAUCCUUAUACUUAUUAUCACAUCCGGUAUUAAUCCCAGUUUCCCAGGGCUAUCC